rnacentral:rRNA from 1 species
CACGGGGGGAGCAAGCGUUGUUCGGAAUCACUGGGCGUAAAGGGCGUGUAGGCGGUUUGGUAAGUGGGAUGUGAAAUGCCUCGGCUCACCCGGGGACCGGCAUCCCAAACUGCCAAGCUUGAGUAUGGGAGAGGAUGUGGGAAUUCCUGGUGUAGCGGUGAAAUGCGUAGAUAUCAGGAGGAACACCGGUGGCGAAGGCGCACAUCUGGCCCAAUACUGACGCUGAGGCGCGAAAGCUAGGGGAGCAAACGGG